rnacentral:rRNA from 1 species
UACGGAGGGUGCAAGCGUUAAUCGGAAUUACUGGGCGUAAAGGGUGCGUAGGUUGUUGAUUAAGUUAUCUGUGAAAUCCCUGGGCUCAACCUGGGCAGGUCAGAUAAUACUGGUUAACUCGAGUAUGGGAGAGGGUAGUGGAAUUUCCGGUGUAGAGGUGAAAUUCGUAGAUAUCGGGAGGAACACCGGUGGCGAAGGCGGCGACCUGGGACAAUACUGACGCUGAGGUGCGAAAGCGUGGGGAGCGAACAGG